ACAAUGAAGAGUUUGAUCCUGGCUCAGGAUGAACGCUAGCGACAGGCUUAACACAUGCAAGUCGAGGGGUUAUGUUGUAGCAAUAUGAUAUGACGACCGGCGCACGGGUGCGUAACACGUAUGCAACCCACCCUAAAGAUUGGGAUAGCCCGGCGAAAGCCGGAUUAAUACCGAAUGAUACAUAUGGUUCGCAUGGAUUGUAUGUUAAAGAGAGAUCGCUUUAGGACGGGCAUGCGUUCCAUUAGGUAGUUGGUGAGGUAACGGCUCACCAAGCCGACGAUGGAUAGGGGUUCUGAGAGGAAGGUCCCCCACACUGGUACUGAGACACGGACCAGACUCCUACGGGAGGCAGCAGUGAGGAAUAUUGGUCAAUGGCCGAGAGGCUGAACCAGCCAA
rnacentral:rRNA from 1 species